ACCCAGCUCCAGCGCCAGCGCAGCCUCCUAGCCCACCAGCCCUUUGAGGAGCUCUUGGACCACUGGGUCUCGGCCUACCACCUGCUGGAGUGGCUGGUGGAGCAGCAGCAGCCCCUUCAAGAGUACAAGGGCAGGCACCAGCUGGGGAAGGCUGGUGUUGCCUUGUCGGCCACAUUCUGGAGCCCGGCAGACAGCCUCAGCAAGCUCCUGUAGCCCUUCCAGAUGGUGGUCCGCGAGGCGAGUGCGGCACAGGCCUCUCUGAGCCAGGUGCUGCCCCAGCUGCGCUACCUGCACAUCUUCCUGGAGCAGGUUCACACACACUUUCAGGAGCAGAGUGUCGGGGAGAGGGGCGCAGCCAUCCAGCUGGCUGAGGGGUUGGCCCGGCAGCUCUGCACCGACUGUCAGCUCAACAAGCUCUUCUACCGCGAGGAGUUUGUGCUGGCCACCUUGCUGGACCCUUGCUUCAAGGGGAAGAUUGAGGCCAUCCUGCCAUGGGGGCCGACCGACAUUGACCACUGGAAGCAAGUCCUCGUGUACAAGGUGAAGGAGAUUAGAGUGUCUGAAUACUCUUUGAACUCCCCAAGUCCCCUGCAAAGCCCCAGGGGUCUGUGCGUGGACCCCACCAGGGUAGCCAAGAGCUCCGGGGUGGAGGGGAGAAGCCAGGGGGAGCCUCUGCAGAGCAGCAGCCACUCUGGGGCCUUCCUGCUGGCCCAGAGGGAGAAGGGCUUGCUGGAGAGCAUGGGGCUGCUGGCCUCUGAGAGAAGCGGGGGCUCGCUGUCCACCAAGAGCCACUGGGCCAGCAUCAUUGUCAAGAAGUAUCUGUGGGAGAAUGAGACCGUUGGAGCCCAGGAUGACCCCCUGGCUUACUGGGAGAAGAAGCGAGAAGCCUGGCCACCAUCUAUCUGUCUUACCCCCCACAGGAGCCUUCUCUGAAAGCAUCUUUGCCUCCCUGAACAGCCCCACCCUUGUAGAGCAAAACUCUUCUCUCAAGGUGGAAGCCAUUGAGCAUCUCCUCUUCUUGAAGGCCAACCUGGAGCAGUUCCCCAACUACACCCCGCCUCCCCUCAUCUGCUCUAGUGGUGACCUGGCCAAGGGGAUACAGACCCUGCAGUCCGCUCAGGGUGGGAUGGCAGACAUGGCAGGUGCCGGUGCUCACCCUGCCCGUGAACUCCUAGAGAGCCCCUGCCUGUAAUAGGUCAAAGCAGAGAGCUGGGUGUUGCAUCCUGGGCGCCACAUGCUCAUGGCCAGAAUCUUAAACCUAUUUGGUAGGAAAGGGUCAGUUUCUCACUUGACAGAUUGCCAUAUUUUUUUUUCUGGGAGAUGUCAUUUUCCAUCUCCCGAUUACUUCCUUUACGUCUAGCAGUAUGUGCCGAGAAGAGGCUUACUCUCUUCGUAGGUGACUGUGAAUUUUGUACUACGUGGCUUUGUACAUGUGAUGCUCUGUUAAAACAUAAGUGGGUAUGAAGGUCCUUGCAUACACCUUGUCUGUGUGGAUAAGUGGACACAUGCCCUUAAGAGGCUUGCUUUCUCAAAAAGUGGCCAAGGAUGUGGAGUGGGCAUGUGCUGGCAGGUGGGAUAUGUCCUCAGCCUUUGGGGGCCUGGAUAAGCUAUUGCAGCACUUUCUGAGGCUUUCACUGUAGGGAGAAGGAAACCCCAAGGGUAGAAUAGCCAUUUCCAGAGGGAAGUACACACAUACCCCCACACACCAGUCUUUUUGGGGGUUUCAGAGUGGCCGGAGAAACCGACUGAAGGGACUGACCAGCUAGCUAGGAGAGCUGAGACGCCAGUCCUCAAAUGGCGUUCUUACCAAUAGUCUAUUUCCAGACUACUGGAAACGUUGGGGUUUCUUCCUCCAGUGACAGCAGCCUCAGUAGCUUUCCUGGGCUCCAGGCGGCUGGCUGCACACCCUGCCUGCCAUCACCCUUGCCCCUGCUUGUCCUGGACCACUUUUAAAGGGGAAGUCCCUUAUUUGGAAGAGAGAAAGGAUGUGUGUAGCACACACUCAUCAUGGAUUGCUCAGAGUUCCUUUAGGGCAGAGCUGAGGGCCUGGGAUCCAGGAACCAGUGGGAUUGGAUGGGAGAAGAAGGAAGGGGGUGGCCCGUCACCCCCGCAAGACUUGCAUCCAGGUAGCCUAAGGACUCCUGGUCACUGGGUAGGGUGGCUGCUGAGAUGCAGGUCGGAAGAGGCAGGGGAAGGCUCCAGGCCUAACUUGGAGCAUGUCACUGGCCAUGGGGGUGAGGGGACAGACUCUGCUCUCACUGGCUGGCAGCCCCAGGAGCCUGUUCCCUUGCCUCUCCUGGAUGGGUUGUCAGCCCUGUGUUUCACUGUGACCAAUUCAUUAUAACAUUUGGAUAUUACUGAAAAUGUAAGGAAGCAGGAAAAAUUAACUACUUUCAUUCAGAGAUAGCCUCUAUCAAUAGUUUGACAUUUUUCCCUCUUUUACAUUGAGAUCAUACCCUAGGUACUGUUUAGUAUGCAAUAUUUUCAUUUUCGCAGUAUAAUAAUUGCACCUGUUAAAUAAAGUUUUGUAAACAUUUAA